UACGUAGGUGGCAAGCGAUACUCGGAAUCACUAGGCGUAAAGCGCAGGUAGGCGGUUUGAUAAGUCUGUUGUGAAAGCUCCCGGCUUAACUGGGAGAGGUCAACGGAAACUGUCAGGCUAGAGUGUGGUAGAGGUAGCUGGAAUUCCCGGUGUAGCGGUGAAAUGCGUAGAUAUCGGGAGGAAUACCUAUGGCGAAAGCAGGCUACUGGACCAUCACUGACGCUGAUCUGCGAAAGCUAGGGGAGCAAACAGG
rnacentral:rRNA from 1 species